rnacentral:lncRNA from 1 species
CUUUAUGUUGGCCGUGUUGUGUAGGAACAUACAUGUCUUGCCUCCGUAGUUUUGAGCAGAACCAAGGGAAAUAGGCAAUGAAUGUUAUAAUCUCAUUUUGCAUUCCUUCUAGCAGAAUUCACAUAUAAUUCUUUGGUAUGCCUCAUAGAUUGUGCAUUUCAGUUAGCAUACAUAAGUCUGUUAUAACACUAUAAUCAAGAUGAUGCCUUUUCAGCUUGCCGUUCUGCUCCAGUUCCCUUUUUCUACUUUCUCAUAUUGCAAGUUCAGUGGUAGGAAGACAUGGGACGAUAGUAUAUUCAUUUUUUCAGAACAAUAUGUGGGCGUGUUGAAUAUUUCUGAAUGAUUUCAAAUUGAUUUGAUUUUAGUUGUAGUAGGAGCUAUUUCGAGAUUUCUAGAGAAUUCACAAUUUGAGCUUUUUUACUUCUUUGAUUACUGUAUUUGUGUGCAUGUUUUCUGCGUGUAUACAACAGUGGCUACAACUCUAAGUUUUCGUUUCAUGAAGAUGCAUCGUAGCAGGUACAAGAGAGAGAGAGAACUACCAGGAUUAACAAAUACUCUGUUACAGUGUUGCUUGCUCUUUUUGCCUUUGCUGAUCACCUCUUUUUGUUUCACUUACGAUUUCUUAUUUCCCCUUUAUUUUUUCUCUUCUUGACUAUUUGCUGAUAACUUGGCUUCACCUUCAAGCUCUAAUUUUUUCUUCCCACGAAGUUUCAAAAUCAAGAAUCAAUUUCUCUCUCUUUUGUUUUUCUUUCAAGAAUUGAAAAGUAUUAUCUUUUCAGGUUUAAAAGAAUUGAUUUUGGGGGCUUUUUGAGUGAUCGUGGGUAGAAGCUUGAGACUACUGGGUGGAGAAGCUUUGUUGCUGAGGUUAUUGGAGGAGUUGAUCGUGCAGAACUUAAUUUGUGAUCUUUAAUAUCGAUCAAUUAUAAAUAUAUUAUUUGUGUUAAUUUCUACAUUUUUUUUAUAAAUUAUAACAUCAAUUAAUACCCGUCGAAUUUCGACGGGUUACACACUAGUUUAGUAUAUACUAGUAUUUGUGCCCUGUGCAAUGCACAUGAAACCUUUUUAUAUUUCUACACCUAUAUGAUGAAAAU